GGCGGACGGGUGAGUAACGCGUGGGUAACCUGCCUCAUACAGGGGGAUAACAGUUGGAAACGGCUGCUAAUACCGCAUAAGCGCACAGUACCGCAUGGUACGGUGUGAAAAACUCCGGUGGUAUGAGAUGGACCCGCGUCUGAUUAGGUAGUUGGUGGGGUAACGGCCACCAAGCCGACGAUCAGUAGCCGACCUGAGAGGGUGACCGGCCACAUUGGGACUGAGACACGGCCCAA
rnacentral:rRNA from 1 species